rnacentral:rRNA from 1 species
GUAGGUGGCAAGCGUUGUCCGGAAUUAUUGGGCGUGAAGCGCGCGCAGGCGGUUCUUUAAGUCUGAUGUGAAAGCCCACGGCUCAACCGUGGAGGGUCAUUGGAAACUGGAGAACUUGAGUACAGAAGAGGAAAGCGGAAUUCCACGUGUAGCGGUGAAAUGCGUAGAGAUGUGGAGGAACACCAGUGGCGAAGGCGGCUUUCUGGUCUGUAACUGACGCUGAGGCGCGAAAGCGUGGGGGGGUAGCAAACAGGAUUAGAUACCCUGGUAGUCCACGCCGUAAACGAUGAGUGCUAAGUGUUAGGGGGUUUCCGCCCCCCCCGUUAGUGCUGCAGCUAACGCAUUAAGCACUCCGCCUGGGAGUACGGCCGCAAGGCUG